rnacentral:rRNA from 1 species
AUUGAACGCUGGCGGCAGUCCUAACACAUGCAAGUCGCACGAGUGGCGGACGGGCGAGUAAUGUCUGGGAAACUGCCAGAUGGAGCGGGAUAAAUACUGGAAACGGUAGCUAAUACCGCAUAACAUAGGAUGUGCCCAGCUGGGAUUAGCUAGGAGGUGGGGUAAAGGCUCACCUAUGAGACGAGUACUAGCUGGUCUGAGAGGAAGACCGGCAGCGCUGGAACUGCUACACGGUCCUGACGCCUACGUGAGGCAUCAGUGGGGAAUAUUGCACAAGUGGCGCAAGCCUGAUGCAGCCAUGCCGCGUGUAUGAAGAAGGCCGUCGGGUUGUAAAGUACUUUCAGCGGGGAGGCGUUACCCGCAGAAGAAGCACCGGCUAACUCCGUGCCAGCAGCCGCGGUAAUUC